rnacentral:rRNA from 1 species
GUGGGGAAUUUUGGACAAUGGGCGCAAGCCUGAUCCAGCCAUGCCGCGUGCAGGAUGAAGGCCUUCGGGUUGUAAACUGCUUUUGUACGGAACGAAAAGACUUCUUCUAAUACAGGAGGUCCAUGACGGUACCGUAAGAAUAAGCACCGGCUAACUACGUGCCAGCAGCCGCGGUAAUACGUAGGGUGCAAGCGUUAAUCGGAAUUACUGGGCGUAAAGCGUGCGCAGGCGGUUUUGUAAGACAGUGGUGAAAUCCCCGGGCUCAACCUGGGAACUGCCAUUGUGACUGGAAGGCUAGAGUGCGGCAGAGGGGGAUGGAAUUCCGCGUGUAGCAGUGAAAUGCGUAGAUAUGCGGAGGAACACCGAUGGCGAAGGCAAUCCCCUGGGCCUGCACUGACGCUCAUGCACGAAAGCGUGGGGAGCAAACAGGAUUAGAUACCCUGGUAGUCC